UACGGGGGGGGCUAGCGUUGUUCGGAAUUACUGGGCGUAAAGGGCGCGUAGGCGGUCUGCUAAGUUGGAUGUGAAAACUCUGGGCUUAACCCAGAGCCUGCAUUCAAUACUGACAGGCUAGAGUUCUGGAGGGGAUAGCGGAAUUCCUGGUGUAGCGGUGAAAUGCGUAGAUAUCAGGAGGAACACCGGUGGCGAAGGCGGCCCCCUGGGCCGUUUCUGACGCUGAGGCGCGAAGGCUAGGGGAGCGAACGGG
rnacentral:rRNA from 1 species